UGGCAGACACUGCAUAUGAUGCAUCGGCAGACUGGUGGUCAUUCGGUGUCGUUGUUUAUGAAAUGGCCACCGGCAUGCUGCCCUUUUCACCAGCUGGAACCUCUCAAGAACAACUAGACAACAUCAUGAGCAGGGAGCCAUAUUAUCCUAAACAUGUUAGGCCAAAAUUGCGCGACUUCAUACAACAGCUUUUGAAGAAGAAGGCCGAACAUCGCCUUGGAGUGUGCGCCAAUGUCCAGGACCACCCUUUUUUCUCUUCAGUUAAUUGGAAGAAUUUAAAGAAACAAAGAUUGGUGCCCCCUCUAACACCAACGAUUAAACCAAUUGAUGGGCUCAGCAACAUUCCCUUUCCAGAAUACAACAUCACUGGGACUUGCAUGAUCAAGGACCUCACCUACAUAGAUCCAACUUGGCUGGACAAAUAAUUCAUCUUUGUUCCACCAGCAAGGUAGAGGUUUGAGAAUGAUUCCCAUCAAAUGACCAUUCAAAAGCUGUGCAGCCAUUCCACCAUAAUAUCCGCUAACACCUGGCUUACUCCUCCAUCCUUUGAUAUCAGGAAGGUUCUCAACACAUGUACCAACUGACCUAAUAAGUGCAGGUUGGUAGCACUGUGGGAUAGGUAAGUAACACCACCAGAGAAAGUACUUCUAUGCUUUUUACAUAAGUUCUUAAUUAAGAUGGUAUAUAUUAUAAGUAGCCACAGAGCUAAAUACCAUCAUAAACCUGAUGCCACAAAUAUACUUUCACCACAAUGGCACAGAUGCAGGAAAAGUACCAUUUUAAAAGAUCCUAUGCCCAGACAUAUAUCAUCUGGGAUACUGUCAUCUAAGUACUUACUGGUGGUUAUUUUGUUCUUGUUCUAAGUUUGAAAAAAAAAAAAAAAAAAAAAAAAAACUUUCCCUCCUUCCCGUGUUAAUGCUAACCAGUUACUGUUUUACCUUUCUUUCCCUUUCCUUUUUUUUUCCUUCCCCAGUUCUCAUAGCCUGUGCUGUCAACAGAGAGGAGGGUCGGGGUGGGCCUAGCUGGUGGC